rnacentral:rRNA from 1 species
GACGAACGCUGGCGGCGUGCUUAACACAUGCAAGUCGAACGGAAAGGCCCUGCUUGCAGUGUCCUCGAGUGGCGAACGGGUGAGUAACACGUGGGUGCUCUGCCCUGCACUUCGGGAUACGCCUGGGAAACUGGGUCUAUUACCGGUUAGGCGCCAUUUUUAGUGUGAUGGUUGGAAAGUUUUUUCGGUGUAGGAUGAGCUCGCGGCCUAUCAGCUUGUUGGUGGGGUAAUGGCCUACCAAGGCGGCGACGGGUAGCCGGCCUGAGAGGGUGGCCCGCCACAUUGGGACCGAGAGACGGCACAGACGCCGACGGGAGGCAGCAGGGGGGAAUAUUGCACAAUGGGCGCCAGCCGGAUGCAGCGACGCCGCGGGGGGGAUGACGGUCUUGGGGUUGAAAACUCCUUUCGCUAGGGACGAAGCUUUUUGUGACGGUACCUAGAGAAGAAGCACCGGCUAACUACGUG